UACGGAGGAUGCAAGCGUUAUCCGGAUUCAUUGGGUUUAAAGGGUGCGUACGCGGGAAAGUAAGUCAGUGGUGAAAGCCUGCAGCUCAACUGUGGAACUGCCAUUGAUACUGCUUUUCUUGAGUAUGGUUGAGGUAGGCGGAAUGUGUAAUGUAGCGGUGAAAUGCUUAGAUAUUACACAGAACACCGAUUGCGAAGGCAGCUUACUAAACCGAUACUGACGCUGAUGCACGAAAGCGUGGGGAGCGAACAGGAUUAGAUACCCUGGUAGUCCACGCUGUAAACUAUGAUCACUCGCUGUUGGCAAUACAUCGUCAGCGGCUGAGCGAAAGCAUUAAGUGAUCCACCUGGGGAGUACGGUCGCAAGAUUGAAACUCAAAGGAAUUGACGGGGGCCCGCACAAGCGGUGGAACAUGUGGUUUAAUUCGAUGAUACGCGAGGAACCUUACCUGGGCUUAAAUGUAGACUGCAUUUCCGGGAAACCGGAAUUUCCUUCGGGACCGUCUACAAGGUGCUGCAUGGUUGUCGUCAGCUCGUGCCGUGAGGUGUCGGGUUAAGUCCCAUAACGAGCGCAACCCCUAUCGUUAGUUGCCAGCGAGUAAUGUCGGGGACUCUAGCGAAACUGCCGGUGUAAACCGAGAGGAAGGUGGGGAUGACGUCAAAUCAGCACGGCCCUUAUGUCCAGGGCUACACACGUGUUACAAUGGUCAGUACAAAGGGCAGCUACCUGGUGACAGGAUGCUAAUCUCGAAAACUGGUCUCAGUUCGGAUUGGAGUCUGCAAUUCGACUCCAUGAAGCUGGAAUCGCUAGUAAUCGCGCAUCAGCAACGGCGCGGUGAAUACGUUCCCGGGCCUUGUACACACCGCCCGUCAAGCCAUGGAAGCUGGGGGUGCCUGAAGUCCGUAACCGAAAGGA
rnacentral:rRNA from 1 species